GUGUCAGCCGCCGCGGUAAUACGAAGGGGGCUAGCGUUGCUCGGAAUGACUGGGCGUAAAGGGCGCGUAGGCGGUUCUCGCAGUCAGGCGUGAAAUUCCUGGGCUCAACCUGGGGGCGGCGCUUGCGACGCGGGGGCUGGAGUGCGGAAGAGGGUCGUGGAAUUCCCAGUGUAGAGGUGAAAUUCGUAGAUAUUGGGAAGAACACCGGUGGCGAAGGCGGCGACCUGGUCCGUGACUGACGCUGAGGCGCGAAAGCGUGGGGAGCAAACAGGAUUAGAAACCCGUGUAGUCC
rnacentral:rRNA from 1 species